CAAUCUGGAGAGAGGCAUUUAACGCCCACCGAAGGGGACCAGUUGCUGUGCCUGCACACAAUGCAAUCACGACAACAUGGAUCAAGCUCUCAGGUAACCGGACAGAUGGGG
rnacentral:ncRNA from 1 species